rnacentral:rRNA from 1 species
GAUGGACGCUGGCGGCGUGCCUAAUACAUGCAAGUCGAGCGAACAGACGAGGAGCUUGCUCCUCUGAUGUUAGCGGCGGACGGGUGAGUAACACGUGGAUAACCUACCUAUAAGACUGGGAUAACUUCGGGAAACCGGAGCUAAUACCGGAUAAUAUAUUGAACCGCAUGGUUCAAUAGUGAAAGACGGUUUUGCUGUCACUUAUAGAUGGAUCCGCGCCGCAUUAGCUAGUUGGUAAGGUAACGGCUUACCAAGGCAACGAUGCGUAGCCGACCUGAGAGGGUGAUCGGCCACACUGGAACUGAGACACGGUCCAGACUCCUACGGGAGGCAGCAGUAGGGAAUCUUCCGCAAUGGGCGAAAGCCUGACGGAGCAACGCCGCGUGAGUGAUGAAGGUCUUCGGAUCGUAAAACUCUGUUAUUAGGGAAGAACAAAUGUGUAAGUAACUAUGCACGUCUUGACGGUACCUAAUCAGAAAGCCACGGCUAACUACGUG